GCCGGCGUAGCUCAGCGGUAGAGCAAGUGAUUCGUAAUCACUAGGUCGACGGUUCGAUUCCGCCCGCCGGCU
rnacentral:tRNA from 1 species